CUUAGGUUGUGUCUCGUGUUUAGUUUAGGUUUAAUUCUGCCCGUGUAAAGUCCGUGUUUCCUAGUCUGCAUCUUUGUUUAUUGUUUCCUGUUUUAUUUUGAAAGGUUGUGUACUAUGCCAGUGUGUCCAGCUUCGCUCCCCCUGUCUCGUUAGCCCUGAUCUCUCCCAGCUCUGUCUCCCUCCUGUCUUCCAUUCCCUGAUUACUUCCCUGUGUAUAUUAGCCCUGUGAUUGCCAUUGCUUAGUGUCGUGUUGUACCGUUUCUUCUUCUGUGUGUUCUGUUUGCCAGCCCGCCAGCCCAUCUAGUUAUUCUGUACUCCCAAUUUAGUUAGUGUUUUUCUGUUCUGCUUCCUCCCAGCAAUAAAGCUGUGUAUUUUGAAGUUUCGUCCGCCUCCAUGAGUCCUGCAUUUUGGGUCCUCUCUUCCUGCCUGCCUACAAACAGACAUGACACAGACACCCUGUAUUUUUCCUCACUACUACACAUCAGCCCUUGCGAGCACAACGCUAUGUUCAGCAGGGCGGACAGCAAAGCUAACAGUGUUCUUUUUUUUAACAUGGACUUCAUAUAUGCCUGAUUUUUAGGAGCUCGUCACAACGGGACAGCAUACAUUUCACAUUAACAAGGAUCACAAGCCUAUAUAGGACAAACUACACCUCUAAAAAACACAGGGGUCAAUAAGGUGUCCAGAAAUACCUACAGCAGCUGGAGCAAUAACACCAAGCCUUACAUUAGCUGAUAGUCUGUGGAACCCAGGACGACCAGAUACCUGCAUCUCUACCAGUUUCUGUGCACUCCAGCCUCUUCUGAGAGGGUGUUUUUUUUUUUUUUUUUUAAGGCAGGAGAAGUUACUCCAUGAAAACAAGCAGACUCAGCCAUCACACAGUGGAACAAAUUCCCUUCUUAAAUGAAAAAGGGUUACCUUAAAAGCAUCAUGUUUUUAAUUUGCAAGUUCAUAAGCAUUUUCCCUUUCCAGUUCACAAUCAAUUCUGCCCCCAGGUCAAAAAUAUGUAUAAGAAUAUUGGCCAAAUAUAAUAUUAUUAAUAAACAUACCUGUUCAGCUGUCCAGUGAUUAAUUGUAUUAGUACAUGGAGGCAGGGCCUCACAGCAGAAGCAUACUCCAUAACGUGUUGUGUGUAUAUGAUAUUUUUUAGAUAUUACUAUCUACCAACAUCAAGAAGUCACAAACAAAGAGAGACCACACCGUGACGCUUGGUUAAACGAGGGAAGUUGAUCAAAAUGUUUUAAACAAAUAAACAACAAUUUUUUUCACCCAAAAAAUACAUGUUCAAAGCAACACAACGGUGACCCAAUAUCAGAC